AAUCAACGCUGGCGGCGUGCCUCAGACAUGCAAGUCGAACGAUUAAAGCUCUCUUCGGAGAGUGUAUAGAGUGGCGCACGGGUGAGUAACACGUAAGUAAUCUACCCUCGAGUGGGGAAUAACAACCGGAAACGGUUGCUAAUACCGCAUAAUGCAGCGGCACCGUAAGGUGACAGUUGUUAAAGAUUUAUCGCUUGAGGAGGAGCUUGCGGCAGAUUAGCUAGUUGGUAGGGUAACGGCUUACCAAGGCUACGAUCUGUAACCGGUCUAAGAGGACGGUCGGUCACACUGACACUGAAUAACGGGUCAGACUCCUACGGGAGGCAGCAGUCGGGAAUUUUGGGCAAUGGGCGAAAGCCUGACCCAGCAACGCCGCGUUGAAGGAUGAAGUAUUUCGGUAUGUAAACUUCGAAAGAAUAGGAAGAAUUAAUGACGGUACUAUUUAUAAGGUCCGGCUAACUACGUGCCAGCAGCCGCGGUAAU
rnacentral:rRNA from 1 species